rnacentral:rRNA from 1 species
ACCUUCGGGUCUAGCGGCGGACGGGUGAGUAACGCGUGGGAACGUGCCCUUCUCUACGGAAUAGCCCCGGGAAACUGGGAGUAAUACCGUAUACGCCCUUUGGGGGAAAGAUUUAUCGGAGAAGGAUCGGCCCGCGUUGGAUUAGGUAGUUGGUGGGGUAAUGGCCCACCAAGCCGACGAUCCAUAGCUGGUUUGAGAGGAUGAUCAGCCACACUGGGACUGAGACACGGCCCAGACUCCUACGGGAGGCAGCAGUGGGGAAUCUUAGACAAUGGGGGCAACCCUGAUCUAGCCAUGCCGCGUGAGUGAUGAAGGCCUUAGGGUUGUAAAGCUCUUUCAGCUGGGAAGAUAAUGACGGUACCAGCAGAAGAAGCCCCGGCUAACUCCGUGCCAGCAGCCGCGGUAAUACGGAGGGGGCUAGCGUUGUUCGGAAUUACUGGGCGU